GUGAGACAGUUCGGUCCCUAUCUGGUGUGGGCGUUGGAUGAUUGAGGGGAGCUGCUCCUAGUACGAGAGGACCGGAGUGGACGAACCGCUGGUGUUCGGGUUGUUUUGCCAAAGGCAUUGCCCGGUAGCUACGUUCGGAAUCGAUAACCGCUGAAAGCAUCUAAGCGGGAAGCGAGCCUCAAGAUGAGUCAUCCCUGAAUGUUUAACAUUCCUAAAGGGUCGUUGAAGACUACGACGUUGAUAGGUGAGGUGUGGAAG
rnacentral:rRNA from 1 species